rnacentral:rRNA from 1 species
CAAUAGCGUAUAUUAAAGUUGUUGCAGUUAAAAAACUCGUAGUUGGAUUUCUGGUUGAAGCGACCGGUCGGGCGUUGAUUCGUCUGCACUGGAGUCGGUUUUGGCCAUCCUCUAGGAAAGUGCGUCUGGUAUUAAGUUAUCGGGCGUAUGAUCCUGGUCUUUUACUGUGAAAAAAUUAGAGUGUUUAAAGCAGGCCUUCGCCUUGAAUACAUUAGCAUGGAAUAAUAAGAUAGGACUUUGGUCUAUUUUGUUGGUUUGCAGACCGAAGUAAUGAUUAAUAGGGAUAGUUGGGGGUAUUUAUAUUCCGAUGUCAGAGGUGAAAUUCUUAGAUUUUCGGAAGAUAAACUUAUGCGAAAGCAUUUACCAAGGAUGUUUUCAUUA